GCGGANGGAACAUUCAGAUGACCCCGGUCUAACCACCGGGUAUGUUCAUAACCCUUUGUUGUCCNCCUNUGNUGCCUCCGGGGCGACCCUGCCUUCGGGCGGGGGCUCCGGGUGGACACUUCAAACUCUUGCGUAACUUUGCAGUCUGAGUAAACUUAAUUAAUAAAUUAAAACUUUUAACAACGGAUCUCUUGGUUCUGGCAUCGAUGAAGAACGCAGCGAAAUGCGAUAAGUAAUGUGAAUUGCAGAAUUCAGUGAAUCAUCGAAUCUUUGAACGCACAUUGCGCCCCCUGGUAUUCCGGGGGGCAUGCCUGUUCGAGCGUCAUUUCACCACUCAAGCCUCGCUUGGUAUUGGGCAACGCGGUCCGCCGCGUGCCUCAAAUCGACCGGCUGGGUCUUCUGUCCCCUAAGCGUUGUGGAAACUAUUCGCUAAAGGGUGUUCGGGAGGCUACGCCGUAAAACAACCCCAUUUCUAAGGUUGACCUCGGAUCAGGUAGGGAUACCCGCUGAACUUAAGCAUAUCAAUAAGCGGAGGAAC
rnacentral:rRNA from 1 species